rnacentral:rRNA from 1 species
GACGAACCGAGCGAACGUUGUUCGGAAUCACUGGGCUUAAAGGGCGCGUAGGCGGGCUGCCGCGUCCGGGGUGAAAUCCCACGGCUCAACCGUGGAACGGCCCCGGGUACGGGCGGCCUCGAGGAAGGUAGGGGCGUGCGGAACUGUGGGUGGAGCGGUGAAAUGCGUUGAGAUCCACAGGAACUCCGGUGGCGAAGGCGGCACGCUGGACCUUUUCUGACGCUGAGGCGCGAAAGCCAGGGGAGCAAACGGG